GUAGCUAGUCUAACCUUCGGGGGGACGGUUACCACGGUGUGAUUCAUGACUGGGGUGAAGUCGUAACAAGGUAGCCGUAGGGGAACCUGCGGCUGGAUCACCUCCUUAAU
rnacentral:rRNA from 1 species